rnacentral:rRNA from 1 species
CACUGCUAUCGGGGUUCGAUUAAGCCAUGCGAGUCGAGAGGGUUCAGACCCUCGGCGCACUGCUCAGUAACACGUGGAUAACCUACCCUGAGGAGGGGGAUAACCCCGGGAAACUGGGGAUAAUACCUCAUAGGUUUCAGAUGCUGGAAUGCUCUGAAACCGAAAUGCUCCGGCGCCUCAGGAUGGAUCUGCGGCCGAUUAGGUUGUUGUUGGGGUAACGGCCCAACAAGCCCGUCAUCGGUACGGGUUGUGAGAGCAAGAGCCCGGAGAUGGAUUCUGAGACAUUAAUCCAGGCCCUACGGGGCGCAGCAGGCGCGAAACCUUUACACUGCGGGAAACCGCGAUAAGGGGACACCGAGUGCCAGCAUACAAUGCUGGCUGUCCACAUGUGUAAAUAGCAUGUGAUAGCAAGGGCCGGGCAAGACCGGUGCCAGCCGCCGCGGUAACACCGGCGGCCCGAGUGAUAAUCACUAUUAUUGGGUCUAAAGGGUCCGUAGCCGGUUUAAUCAGUCUUCCGGGAAAUCUGACAGCUCAACUGUUA